GACAGAGGUGCCGAGCGUUAGGCGGAAUCACUGGGCGUAAAGGGUGCGUAGGCGGUUCCGCAAGUCCUGUGUGAAAUCUUCGGGCUCAACUCGAAGUCUGCACGGGAAACUGCGGGGCUUGAGUGUGGGAGAGGUGAGUGGAAUUCCCGGUGUAGUAGUGAAAUGCGUAGAUAUCUGGAAGAACACCAAUGGCGAAGGCAAUGUUCUGGCUCGUUUCUGACGCUCAGGUGCGAAAGCCAGGGGAGCGAACGGG
rnacentral:rRNA from 1 species